UACGGAGGGAGCUAGCGUUGUUCGGAAUUACUGGGCGUAAAGCGCACGUAGGCGGCUUUGUAAGUUAGGGGUGAAAGCCCGGUGCUCAACACCGGAAUUGCCUUUAAGACUGCAUCGCUUGAAUCCAGGAGAGGUGAGUGGAAUUCCGAGUGUAGAGGUGAAAUUCGUAGAUAUUCGCAAGAACACCAGUGGCGAAGGCGGCUGACUGGUCCGGUUCUGACGCUGAGGCGCGAAAGCGUGGGGAGCAAACAGG
rnacentral:rRNA from 1 species